GAUGAACGCUGGCGGCGUGCCUAAUACAUGCAAGUCGAGCGAACGGACGAGAAGCUUGCUUCUCUGAUGUUAGCGGCGGACGGGUGAGUAACACGUGGAUAACCUACCUAUAAGACUGGGAUAACUUCGGGAAACCGGAGCUAAUACCGGAUGAUAUUUUGAACCGCAUGGUUCAAAAGUGAAAGACGGUCUUGCUGUCACUUAUAGAUGGAUCCGCGCUGCAUUAGCUAGUUGGUAAGGUAACGGCUUACCAAGGCAACGAUGCAUAGCCGACCUGAGAGGGUGAUCGGCCACACUGGAACUGAGACACGGUCCAGACUCCUACGGGAGGCAGCAGUAGGGAAUCUUCCGCAAUGGGCGAAAGCCUGACGGAGCAACGCCGCGUGAGUGAUGAAGGUCUUCGGAUCGUAAAACUCUGUUAUUAGGGAAGAACAUAUGUGUAAGUAACUGUGCACAUCUUGACGGUACCUAAUCAGAAAGCCACGGCUAACUACGUGCCAGCAGCCGCGGUAAUACGUAGGUGGCAAGCGUUAUCCGGAAUUAUUGGGCGUAAAGCGCGCGUAGGCGGUUUUUUAAGUCUGAUGUGAAAGCCCACGGCUCAACCGUGGAGGGUCAUUGGAAACUGGAAAACUUGAGUGCAGAAGAGGAAAGUGGAAUUCCAUGUGUAGCGGUGAAAUGCGCAGAGAUAUGGAGGAACACCAGUGGCGAAGGCGACUUUCUGGUCUGUAACUGACGCUGAUGCGCGAAAGCGUGGGGAUCAAACAGGAUUAGAUACCCUGGUAGUCCACGCCGUAAACGAUGAGUGCUAAGUGUUAGGGGGUUUCCGCCCCUUAGUGCUGCAGCUAACGCAUUAAGCACUCCGCCUGGGGAGUACGACCGCAAGGUUGAAACUCAAAGGAAUUGACGGGGACCCGCACAAGCGGUGGAGCAUGUGGUUUAAUUCGAAGCAACGCGAAGAACCUUACCAAAUCUUGACAUCCUUUGACAACUCUAGAGAUAGAGCCUUCCCCUUCGGGGGACAAAGUGACAGGUGGUGCAUGGUUGUCGUCAGCUCGUGUCGUGAGAUGUUGGGUUAAGUCCCGCAACGAGCGCAACCCUUAAGCUUAGUUGCCAUCAUUAAGUUGGGCACUCUAAGUUGACUGCCGGUGACAAACCGGAGGAAGGUGGGGAUGACGUCAAAUCAUCAUGCCCCUUAUGAUUUGGGCUACACACGUGCUACAAUGGACAAUACAAAGGGCAGCGAAACCGCGAGGUCAAGCAAAUCCCAUAAAGUUGUUCUCAGUUCGGAUUGUAGUCUGCAACUCGACUACAUGAAGCUGGAAUCGCUAGUAAUCGUAGAUCAGCAUGCUACGGUGAAUACGUUCCCGGGUCU
rnacentral:rRNA from 1 species